UACGGAGGAUGCGAGCGUUAUCCGGAUUUAUUGGGUUUAAAGGGUGCGUAGGCGGUAUUUUAAGUUAGUGGUAAAACGUCGGGGCUUCACCUUGAUUGGCCAUUAAAACUGGAGUACUGGAGUACAGACGAGGUAGGCGGAAUAAGUUAAGUAGCGGUGAAAUGCUUAGAUAUAACUUAGAACCCCGAUAGCGAAGGCAGCUUACCAGACUGUUACUGACGCUGAAGCACGAGAGCGUGGGUAGCGAACAGG
rnacentral:rRNA from 1 species